GGACUUAUGUUUCCCAUAAACAGGACUGUGUAUAUUACAAGUAAGAAAAAGGGGCAAUUGCACUGGGUCUCAGACAAUCAGAAUUCAAUUUCUAACUUUAGCAUGAUUUCCGGUGUGACUUCUCCAUCCUUCAGUUCCCGUCGAUACACUAGGGAUAUUAAUAUUUCAUGCAAGUGUGGUAAGGACAAAUUCAUUACUGCUUGUGAGGUGCUCAGGCAAUACAGUGAUGAGGCUAUACAAUUACCUACCUAGAUGGGGCAGGCCUGAGCUACCUGCUUUAACUCCAUGGCUCUGCUUCUGCAGACUACUAAGCAGACCACCACACAUUGAACUUUCUAAUCAGACGACCAACCCUAACUUUGAUGUGGCAGGAUUGCCAUUGGAAGAAGUGAAAGGUAAUUCAACUUUGCUUCUUUUGGUCAGUGUUUACUGUGCAAAAUUAUACCAGUCUGGUUGUUAUAGUAUGUAUUACCUAAGCAAAGACCAUGUCUUUUAUUUUUAACAUCUUGUGAGGCAUACAAUGCCAUAGAAGUGAAAGGGCAGUGCAUUGUCUGUUACGUUUGACUCAUCUUUAAUCAUCCAUCAUAUCAAAGUGAUUCAACUCUUAGCAAAAUACACACUUAGAUCUGGAGCAUACAGUGUGCCUGCUUGAAAUAUUUCACAUUCUGAGUUUGUGGGUCACAUGAUGCAUAUGUGAUUUGUGUAGUUUCAAUGUUUCCUUGUAUGAAGAAAAUGAAAUUUUCUAUUUUCACUCCUCCUGUUAAAGCAUGUUAGUUAUGUUAGGUUCUGUCUGAAAAAGUUCUACGUGUUCCUUAAAAUUCAAAUAUUAUCUCUAAAUCUGCAGCAACUGCUGAGAUAAAAUUGUAGAAAUGCUGACUUUCAUUUCAUUGUCUGGCUUUCAGUAUACUUCCUAACAUUUGGCAGCUUUUCCCCAUGUACCAGCCUCAUUUUAUAGCCCUGCUGUUAUGUUCUUGAACUUUGUCAUGACUAUGAUCCUAGGGCAUCUGAACUGUCAGAUAUAAAAGUGGGAAGAGAGAAAGAGGGUAGGAGAGUUGUAGAAGGCGAAAAGCUUAGUAACAUGCUGAUGAAUUUCCUUCCAGCAGAUAGUUUUCACUUUGCCUUCAUUGCUGUCACAUUUCCUUAAAUAAUAGGAAGACUUUUCCACUAAUGGGCAAUGGAGGCUGUUUGCCUGAUGAGAACUUGCAGAGGCAGCCUGCCAUGUGCCUUUAUCUUUUAAACUGAGGUGAAACAAGCUUGCCUGGCUGCAGAUAAGCAGCUUAGAAGCAGUCCUAUUCAGAUGUACCUGUCACUAAUUUAUCUAGGUUUUUUUGUA
rnacentral:lncRNA from 1 species